CUCUAUUCUAUCAUAGAUAACUAAGAGAAAAUCACUACAGUGUAGAGGGAUUUUCGGUAGUGGCAGGGAUUCUCUUCAACCGUUGGUGGCGUGAACUUAGAGAGCUAGAAAGAGUAAAAUAUUUUUGCAACUUACAAUACAACUGUGAUAAAGUCAUUACAAGUCAAUAUACUGUCCAUAUUCAUACAAGUAUACUGGAGCUGCAAAUUAUGGAAACAAAUAAAGGAGCAACGAUCAAAUUUCCUUGGGCUAUGCAAUAGCCAGAACAAGUUGAACGGGCUAUAAAUAGACAAGCUCUAUGAAGGAAGAAAGUGCGCAGCCUUCUAUACAAUUGUCUAUCCAACUAUAAGUUCUUUAUUCUACUCUUAACAAGCAUUGUAAUUCACUUUUAGUAGAUUUACUGUGUACACAAAAGAGUGAAGAGAGACAGAAAAAUAUUGGAGAGGCAGUGUGUCCUUAGAGGUUGUGUCAUUAUUCGUUUCUUUGGUGAGCGAGUGAAAACCAAAGAGUCGUUGUUGGUGAGCGAGUAAAAACUAACCUUUUGCGUUGUUGGUGGGCGUGUUAAAACCAACCCUUGUUCGUUGUUGGUGAACGUUGAAAAUCACACAAGCUGUACUCAACUCAUAUUACAAAGAGAUCAAGAGAUAACAUCCUUGCAACCCAAGGAUACUAGAGUAUACCACAUUGGUUACGAACCAGUAUAAAAUUUCUGGUGUCAUUUACCUUACUGCUUUCAUAUUUUAUUAUAAGCAAUUACUGUUUGUUGAUAUUAGUAUUUGAUUGGAUCGAAGUACUAACAGUAUUGUAUAGGUUGUCUCCGUAUUAGUCGACUAGGUCUGAGGAAUAGUCGACUAGAAAUUUAAAAAAGCUACAAUUCACCCUCCCCCCUCCCUUCAUACUCUUGUACUUUCAAUUGGUAUUAGAGCAGGUCUCAUAAUUUUACUUUUGCUUAAUAGCAAAUGAGAAAAGAUCAUGUCAACACAUACAGUUAUCGGAUCCUUGCUCCAAGAGGGGACUUCUGCAUUAAGACCACCAUACUUCAACGGACAGUAUUACACUCACUGAAAGUUCGAAUGGAAGCUUUCAUCAAAUCUUAUGAUAUCAAAGUAUGACGAAUCAUCAAGAAGGGUGACUUUCCUCUUCUACAUUCCAAACCAGAAAAGAAACCAGAAGGACAGGUAUCUACUGAAACCCUUGAUAUUGAUGAUUAGACUGAUGAGCAUAUGGCGAUCGUGCAGAUAAAUUUAAAGGUAAAAAACCAAUUAUACUAUGCUAUAAGCGGAGAAGAAUUUGAGAAAAUAUCAAGUUGUGACACAGCCAAAGAAAUAUGGGAUAAACUGGAAGUUAUCUAUGAAGGUACCGGUAAAGUAAAAGAGACAAGGAUAAACCUUCUGAUUCGUGAUUAUGAGCUGUUUCAAAUGAAUGAUGAUGAAUACAUUGAAGACAUAUUUGGCCGAUUUAGUAAAAUAAUUGGAGAUCUAAAAUCUUUUAGAAGACCAUAUUCAAGUGGUGAACAAGUGAGAAAAAUUCUAAGAAGUCUACCCACUUUAUGGCAACCAAAAGUUAUUACUCUUGAAUAUGAAGAUCUCGACAAACUAUCAUAUGAUAAACUUAGUGGAUACCUUAUAUCCUUUAAGCAAACCCAUCUCAAAAAGCAUGGACAUGAAGAGAAGAAAAAGUGUGUUGGCUCUAAAUCAACUAUUAUUGAGUCUGAAGGUGAAGACGAAGAAGAAGGAGACAACCAUCAAGAUGAUAUUGCAUUAUUUUCUAGAGUUGUCUCUAACACGACGCAAAGAAGCAAGAAUAAUAGAAGAGACAAAUAAAGUUCUAGAAAAGGUAAUGAAAUAAGUGAGCAGAAAAAUAAUGAUAGAAAAUGCUAUGAAUGCGAAAAUUAUGGUCACAUCCAAGCCAACUGUCCAGAACUAAAAAGAAAAUUAUCUAAGGGCAAUCGGAAGAGAAAAUCUUUCAGUGUAAAAAGUGAUGAAUAUAUGCCAGAUAAAGAUCAUAGUUGAGCUGCCAACCUUUGUUUCAUGGCACGAAGUAAAACAAGUGAGAAAAUAAAAUCUUUAGUACCUGGAGUGAUGAAGAUAUAUUAGACAACGAUCAUGAGGAAUCUACAAGCAACUGUUUCAUGGCCCCAAUUUAAAUAAGUUAAGUAAAAUCUCAUGACUGUGAUAAAUGUAAUAAACUUCAAAAUAUCGUAGAACAGGCUUUAGAAGAUAUGAGAAAAAUUCUUGAUGAGCUCAAGAAGACUAAAUGGGAGAAGAAGAACUGGAAGACUCAACUUGAAGAAUAUAACAAGUUGAAAAAGGAAAAGGAAGAGUGGGAUAUUCUACUCGAAGAUUAUCAGGUUGAAAAUGACUUACUUCAAGAAGAAAAUGCGGAACUUCGCAAACAAAUGAAUAAUUUGCACAAAUCUUCCCGUCAUCAUUUUGAUCGACCGAACAAGCAGGCUCACUUUUUUAAUAACUCCAAGUUGACUGACAAGGGAUCUACUAGUAGAUGCCCUACUUCAAACAAGUCGACUCAGGAAAGCUUCAAGUCGACUAAGGCACCCGCUGAUAAAUACUCUACUUCUUUUGUUACAUGUAACUACUGUGGUAAUUUUGGACAUAAGGCAUUUGCAUAUAAUUAUGCCAAAAGUCAUGUUAGAUCAAAAUUUGUUUGGAGACCUACACAGUUACAUAUAUCUCCAAUUAUACAAGUUACUAACCAUGAAAGACCCAAAAAGGUUUGGGUACCAAAAAUAAACUAAUUUGUUUUGCAGGAAUUCCUUAGUCCAGCCAUAAAAAGGAUCAAAGAUGUUUGCAUAUUGGCUGGUCGAGGCACAUUCUUAAAGAUGCUUCAAAGUUUUUACAUAUUCAACAGAGGAUGAAGGAAAUACGACGUAUGAUCUAAAGAAGUGACUGGUAUAACUAAGGUUUAAUCAAGUUCUUCUCGCUGUAUUAGGUGAUAUGUAUCCAGUUAUUGAUUUAGUAAAGUAUAGCCUAGUAUAUGCAUAUUAGUCACCUGUAUACACUUUGAGUCCACUAGCUACAUCACAUGUUAUUCUAUUUGGUAUUAUUUUUUAUCCAUAACUUAGAGACUUUAAAUAGCUUUAGUACAUACCAUGUCAUUUGCAUAAGAUAUUAGGACGAGCAAGCAUGUGAUUAUAUUGAUAUCGUACAAUCUUGACUCAUGCCUAUAUGUGUCUUAGAUUAUUCUUGAAGUGAAUUAUAUGUGUGAUAUUUGCUUUCCUGAUAAGAAUACUAAUGCUUCAUUCAAGUCAAGAAAGUUAUUCACCGUAAGGUCAAUUCUGCACAUGAAAAUCUUCGGACAAUACUUAAAAGGUUGAAAAAAAAAGUUAUGUAUUUCUAUUGUUGACGAUUAUUCACCUCAAUUGGGUUAUGUUCUGGAUCUAUAUUGGAGAACAAUUUAUAUGAGAUAUGAGAUGAAGAAAAAUCAAUUGUUGAUUAUGUUCAUCCUUUUGGUUAAAUGUCUAGCCACUAUCAUGGAAAGGACAAAAAUUGGUAAGAUUGACGGUAUCUUCAUUAGCCCUUACUACCAGCUAAUCUAUUGACAUGAAUUUAUCUUAUUGGGCUUAUGUAUCUUUGAGCAAGAGUGUGAAUGCAGAUUGGUAUUAGUACAUUCAUACAAGUUGAUCUAGAAAAUCUAUGAGGAGCAUUGUGUUGAAUGAUGCAUUCUAGAAAUACAAGAAUAGCUGAAUAAAGUCAAAAGAGACAAAGUAUGAGAGCCGACCAAGUAUACAACUAAGUAUAUUCGAAAAAUGAGCUUGAUGGUGAGGUUGAGAAACAAGGGUAAACUUGUAGCAUAAGGUUUCAUAACAAGAAGGUUUGCUUCUUCAUUAAUUUUUUUGCUAGAGUAUUAUUUUUCAUGUGCAUCUUAUAGAGCUUUUAAAUUGUUUCAAAAUACAUAGUGAGUUUCUUUAAAUAAUGGAGAUCUUGUUUUCUAACAUCCCAAGAAUUGAGAAUUUUCUAAAAAUUUUUAUGACCAAAGCUUGAUAAUUUUCCAAAAGUUUUUUAUAAAAUAAAAUUUAAAAAGGGGGUGUGGGGGGGGGGGAGGGCAUGAUCGUGAGUUUAUAUUUGCAAGUGUUUAUAUUGAUAACAUAUGAUAGUACUAAUCAAAAUUUAUGUCAAGGAUUUCUCAAGCUUAUGCAUGGUGCUCAAUACUGAUACUAACAUGAUGAAGAAUUAAUUUUCUUCUCUCAAGUUCCAAAUAAUUCAAAGCCAGCAAAGAAGAAAAUUAGUUAGUCACUGAUCUUUGAAGUACCAAAGCGAAAGUUGAAUGAAAAAAGCAGAAUUGACAUAGAGCGAUUUUUUGCAAUUCAUCAGUGUCAUGGAAAAGCCAAAAGCAACGUUCCAUAAUCUUAUCUAGCUGAUGAUGAAUAGUUUUGCAUAAGAAGUUGCAGAUAAAUUCUUUGAUGGAAUAUCAACUAGAGGACAAAGCGUAACACUGUCAUUAUAUUUCAUGAGACGAAUGGUAAGUACGUCUUGAGGUUAUUAUAACACGCAGAUAUUUCCUCACUUUGAGGAAAGAAUUUGAUAUCGGGGUGAUGUCUUAGUGCUCCUUUCUUGAAAGAAUGAGUCAUUAUCUCUUUGGUAACUGAUUCAUUAUCAUCUUUAUUCUUAUGUGUUUAUAUGUUGAAGUUUGCCUAAGGUUCUAGUCAUAUACAAAUCUUUCGACUCGAUAAAAAUCUUGCUAAAAUAUUUCCUUAACUAUUUGCAGGCUUUCUAAUUUUUUUGUGAAUAUGGUGCAACUCUUCUACUACAUUUCAAACGUACUUUGAAAAACUAAAACAACUUGUGAAUUUUCCUCUUGAAAUAUUUCUAGACUUUUCAAUUGAUUCGAUUAAGUUAUCAUUUCUUAUUUGUGUGAUUAAUGUGUACUCUCAUCGGCUUAAAUCUAUCUUCACACAAUUUGACGUCCUCGAUAAGUAUAUUCUUUACCCGUCUUUUAUGUCCUUGAAUAUUUUGUCUAUGCAUUGAAUUCAUAUAAAUGUCUCACCCUUUUGAUGAUGACAAAAGGGGGAAAAAAUAAUGUGUACAAAAGCUCAAAAUUUCAGAUACAAUGCAUGGAGACAGGGGGGAGCAUAAUUGAGGAAUGCAUAGAGUGAGGGGGAGUUCUCAUUUGUUGUACUACCUACAUUUUGAGAAGAUUACUUCAGGAAAGUAGACAGUUUAUCUCACAUAUCCCAUUACUGCCUUUAAUUAAGUCUUUGAUUAAAUUCUCUUAUUUUGUACUCAAUGGUUUGCCAUCAUCAAAAAAGGGGAGAUUGUUAGCCUCAAGGUUUCACGUAUUAAUUUUGAUGAUAACAAACCAACAUAAUUAUUAAUCAAAGAAUAUUUACUUGUGGUAAUUUUAUUCUUGCACGGGUUUGUUCAAGGAAGAAGAUGUUAGUAAAGAUCCAAAGAAAUAUGAGAAAGAGAAUUUCAUGUAAAUAAUUUAUGAGCAAAAAUAUUAUCAAGGAAAAUUAUUUUCAGAGAUUUAAUCUCCAAGCGUCAUAGAAGGAAUAAUAUUUGAAAGUCAAAUUUCAAAUAUUGAAGAAGAAUCUGCGGAAAUUAUGGAAGGAAAAGUUUUUCAAUAUCUUGAAAGGAAAGUUGUUAAAAUCAUGGAGAAAAACUAUUAUUUUGUGGAAAGAAAAUACUGUAUGGAAAAGAUACUACAAGGUCAAGGAAGAAUAUAUUUUCUAUGAAAAGAAAAUAUAUUAUAGAUGUAGUACAAUCUAUAUUAUGGAAAGAGAUUAUUUUUCAAGAUAGAAAGGAAUAUUUUCAAUAUAAUAGAAGAAGAAUAUAUUUUCUAUAGAAAGAAAAUAUAUUAUGAAUGUAGUACAAUCUAUAUUAUGGAAGAUUAUUUUCCAAGAUCAAGAAAGGAAUAUUUUCAAUGUAAUAGGAAUUCAAAGAUGCUACUAUUAUUUAUGAAAAAAUAUUUUUACUGCAUUCCUUCUUUGGUAUGGAAAGAAUAAUUUAUGGAAAUAAGUUUGAGUUCCAUAUAAAGAAUGACUAUUGCUCUUAUGGAAAUUCAUGAAUAUUGAAUCAAGACUAAAGAAGGUUGAAGAAUGAUGCACGUGAAGAUGCAACAGAAAUUAAUUAUGAAAUGAAAGGUUUUCUAAAGAAGAUCAACCAAGAUAUUGCAUCCAAAUAAAGAGAGAAUAUUCUACUACCAUAAAAGGAAAAAGUGGUGUAGUGAAUGAAGAAUCAACAAAAGGAAUGUUGAAGAAUUGUAUUUCUGAAUCAAGUUUCUAUAGGCCUACGAAGAAAAUUACUUAUGAUCAAAUUGAGAUCUCAUUAAUGACUCAAGCACCAAGAAAAGAAAAAAGGAAAAGAAUCCUCUACACAAUGAUUCUCAUGCCGGUACUCAACGAAGAUUUUACAUAUUCAAGGAAGGAAAGUGGAGACAACGAAAUACAAGAAGCCAAACAAGGAAAAGAAAUCAAUGUUGCAAAGAUACCUAUGGUAUAUCCACCUUCAAAAGAGUGCCAAGUCAUUAUACUGUCCAUAUUCAUACAAGUACUGGAGCUGCAAAUUAUGGAAACAAAUAAAGGAGCAACGGUCAAAUUCCCUUGGGCUAUGCAAUAGCCAGAACAAGUUGAACUGACUAUAAAUAUACAAGCUCUAUGAAGGAAGAAAAUGUGCAACCUUCUAUACAAUUAUCUAUCCAACUACAAGUUCUUUAUUCUACUCUUAACAAAUAUUGUAAUUCACUUUUAGUAAAUUUACUGUGUACACAAAAGAGUGAAGAGAGAUAGAAAAAUAUUGGAGAGGCAGUGUGUCCUUAGAAGUUGUGUCAUUAUUCGUUUCUUUAGUGAGCGAGUGAAAACCAAAGAGUCGUUGUUGGUGAGCGAGUAAAAACCAACCUUUUGCGUUGUUGGUGGGCGUGUUAAAACCAACACUUGUUCGUUGUUGCUGAAAGAGUAGGAUACCACAUUGGUUCCGAACCAGUAUAAAAUUUCUGGUGUUAUUUACCUUACUGCUUUCAUAUUUUAUUAUAAGCAAUUACUGUUUGUUGAUACUAACAGUAUUGUGCAGGUUGUCUCCAUAUUAGUUGACUAAAUCUGAGAAGUAGUCGACUAGAAAUUUAAAAAGGUUACAAUUCAACCCCUCUUGGUGAAGGCAAUUAAACCGAAAGUCUGUAACUUAUCAGUUUAAGGGAGGUAUUGUUGGGAUUAUCCUUUUAUUUAGGAAUUAUUUGUUUAAUGUUUGUUUGGUCUUUUAUUUAGUUGAAUUGGUCAGCUCCUAGUUAUUAGGAAGUGGACGAGUGGUUUUAGUUGACAUAGUGGAGUCUGUUAGGAGUCCUAGUUAAUGUUUGUUUAGUCGUGGGUUUGUGGGUUUCAUGCGCAGUCAUGAAGUCUCUGUAAAGGCCUAUAUAAUGGCUUCUUCUGUUGCAAAUAAAGGUGUGAGUUUGCAAUAUUAAAAAUGCCAUCUUAUCCAUUUUCUUAUCUGCUCUAUUCUAUCAUAGAUAACUAAGAGAAAUUCACUACAGUGUAGAGGGCUUUUCGGCAGUGGCAGGGAUUCUCUUGAACCGUUGGUGGCGUGAACUUAGAGAGCUAGAAAGAGUAAAAUAUUCUUGCAAGUUACAACUCAACUGUGAUAGAAAGGUAUAGGUUUAAUUUUAUCACUAUGGCUAUAUUUCUUGAAUUAAUCUAGGAAGGAUAUCACUAAUUCUUUUUGUUAUAAUGACAAAGAUCGAGUUGGGAACAGUGUGGUCAUGGAAAACAUUGUAGUAUUUAUAAGGCCAUGGGAAUAUAAGUAGAAUUUUGUAAUGAAAAUCUUACUAUUUAAAAUAUGGAUAAGAACUAUUUGAGAUUGCCCUUUUGAAGUUAGAACACUUUGCACAUGGAAUUCGUUUUAGAGUUUUGUAUAUAUUGUUAGAUUAGUUACAUACUUGCAUUACAUAUAUUCAUGUAAUAAGGUUAGAAUUCCUCUAACUCACGUGUAGUUACAGGUGCAUUAAUGAGCGUAAAGUUUAGGAUGAUUAGAAACCUUUUAAGCCAGCCAAAUAAGCUUUGAAUAUGUGAAUGAUUAAGGGAUUAGUCGACUGAUUAGCAUACCAAUUGUUGGAUUUAGUAUAAGAAUUCAGAUUUGCCUUAUCGUAGUAUCGAGAUUGGAACUUGAUGAUAGAUUGGACUCUUCCACUUAUGGGUAGUUCGAUAAUAUCAUUUGUUCGGGGAUUUAACCAUAAUCGACGGGAGUCGACUUUUGAGUUAACUUUAUUUUGAAUAUUUCAAAAGAAUUAUGAGAUCAACCCGAUUAACAUAAUUGAUAUUGUUAAUCAAUAUUUUUGGUUAGAUUGAGGUUGUUGGAGGCCAUUUGAUUGGUGUUCUAGACAUUGCAAGGUUAGAAAACUUUUCGUUAAUGAGGUAAGUGAGACUUUAAGUUUUGAUACUUGCUUUUCAAAACCUGUCUUGAAAAUGUAUUUUAUCUGCGGUGUCCAUGUGUUGGGACAAGGGUGCGCUUGGCAGAAUCGGUGAUCUUUGACUAGCCGCAAAUAUAUUAUUUUAUGACAAAAAUAAUACUAAAAUUACUUUGUAAGUUGUUUGAUGGUGUGAUAUGGCUGUGAGCCAUGAUGCUGGGUUUGAUGGUUUGAUACGGUUGUGAGCCAUGAUGUUGGGGCAUUGUGUAUGCUUUUGUACAUCACUAGAGCAUUGUGUAUGUUUCUUGAUAUAAUUGAGGCAUUGUGUAUGCUUCUGUGUUCAUUUGUAUGCUCUUUACAUAUUUGAGGCAUUGUGGUGUCGUCGUGGACUUGUCGGGGUGUUAGUAAAUUUUUUACACUGUCAUUUAUGACAAGUCCUUAGUGUAAAUUGUGUUGAGAUAUAAAAUGCUACCUGUUAAAUACUGGUCUAAACUUUAUUGAGUAUUAUAUUGUGCAAUAAUUUCUGUGCAUAUUAUAUAUGUACUUUUUGUGUGUUUGUAUUUUCUAAUACUUGUUCCAGGGUAUUUAAAGUGGCGGGUCGAGAAUCCUACUGGGUUAUAUUCACGUAUAACUCACUCCUUACCUGCAUAUCCAUGUAGAUACUAUUCGUGGAGACAGAGCUAGUAGCUGACGAGUUCUCUAGAGUUGAUCCAAUUAUUGAGGUGAGUCAUUGCAUUAUUCGUGGAGGCUGCCAAAAAGUCUUUAUCAUUUAUUCAUAUGAUGUUUUUUAUAUUCCUCUUAGAUGCUCCAUGGUCUAGUGUGGGAUUUGGGAUAGAGUGUUAUUCCUUAAUUUUCAUUAUUAUUAUUCAUAAAUAUUUAUGGAAUAAUUUAGAUCGGUAAUUAUGCAUCAAAUUAUCAAAAUAUUGAAACUUGCGUUUAUUUUGAUUGACUUUUUAAAAAAAAUGCUAAUUGUAUGGUAUAAAUUGGUUUACCUGGCGGGUAGUGUUAGUUGAGUGUCAGUCACGACUAGAGGAUACUUUAGGACGUGACAUAAACACUUUUCAAAGCAAGCAGAUUUUGGAAGUUUGGUCAAAUAUGCUAUUAAAUUGGGGCAAAAUUGCGGUGUAUAUGGCAACGUAUCAUGCAAGUCCCCAUUAAAUCAACCCCAAGAUGAAUAAUUAACCUAAAUAAUCGCUCACCUUAUCUCUUUAACUAAAAGUAGUCGAUGGAUGUAUAACAUAUGGAUAAUUCAUAUAUAAUAUAUCUAAUAAUCGUGUAUAAUCGAUAUAAUCGACUAGAGAAAAUAAAUGGCAAAUCCGACGGGCUGUUUAUGUAAAGAUUCCAAUCAGGAUUAACUCAUGGGCUAGCAGCCCACUUUAUUGGGCUAGGUAGAAAAAAAAGUAAAAUUGUACUACGAGGGACACUAGUAAGGCCUUGAUACCAAGGGAGUCAUAUGCUGGUGAAAAUUCUUGACUCUAGUCUCUUGAAGGAAUUACAAAUAGGAUACCUUGGGACACUGCUUAAUAAAACAGAGAAAUGGGUUAUUAUUAUGUAAGAAGGCAAGUCUUUGUUUAUCAGAGCACAACAUGAACAUCAUCUCUCUUAAGAAAAACACAAUAAAACCCCAUAUAUAUUUUCAAGGGAAAACUUCAAUAAGAGACCUAAGGCCAAAGAUUGGUCUUAUAUUGUAACGAGUAAAGCCAGCUUCAAGGAAUAGCUUUCCCCAUUCUUCCUCAGUUCUUUCUUUUGCAGUAAAAACCAUUGCCAUCCACAUGUCAAACAUGAGCUUCACUUCAGUCAUGUCUGGCUCUUCUUCAUUUCUAUUCAAUAUCAUGUCAAUGAUAAGGACCUUCCCUUUUCUUCCCUCUUCAUUCUCUGCAACAGCUUCUCUGCAUUUCUUCAGUAGCUUGACACAAUCCUCAUCUCUCCAACUGUGCAAUACAUGCUGCAAAACAUAACAAUGUGACACUGUAUCGAAUUUUGAUUAAUUUGAGCAAUAUUCUGCCAACUUCAAAGAUGGUUAGUUAGAUCAAACAGACGUAAAAUUAGUUUAACAAUUAAUUUAAAUAAUAUAAAAAGGAUCUAGAAAGUUGAAUUCAUGUGAAAAAUUUGUGCUUCUGUAUAAUCUAUGCUAGUAUAGAAGGUUGUGCCUCAGAUAGUGUAUAGAAAAUGGAGAAACAAAUUCCAACCUAAGUAGAAGUUGCCCAAAUUAUAUUUGACAAUCUAUGUGGGGAUUUAAUUUUAGUGUACUUAACCUGCUUUUUUUUUCCGAGUUACCAAUCUCACUUUUAUGGACUGCUCUUUUAAGUGAUUUGAUAGUGUGCUAAAAUCAAACUCAUGUACAUAAAGGAUGUUAAGUAUAAAGUUCUUGUAUAUACCUUAAGCAAAAUGGCAUCAGCGUGAGGAAUAGAUUGAAACAUAUCCCCUCCAACAUAGCUUAAAUUCUCACUUUGUGGCAUGUUGGCAACAACAUGUUGAAGAUCAAGGACAGUGCACUUCAAGUGAGGAAAUGCCUCAAAAAUGGUCUUAGCUAUAAUCCCAAUGCCCCCUCCAACAUCAACCAAUGAGUUCAUCCCCUCAAAAACUUCCUUACAAUCCUUGACAACUAAUCUCAUCAUUUGGGAAUCACUAGCCAUUCCUUCAUUGAAAUCUUUGUCGAAUCUUGGAUUUUGUGCACAAAAUUCCCACAUAGGUACCCCAUGGGCUGUCUCAAAUGCUGUGGCUUCUUCAUUCUUAUUGUGAAACCAUUCAAGCAUUAGUUGCCAAGGAGUGACAACGAUAGGGUCAAUCAUUACUCUAACGCAAGGUGACAAGUUUGGGAAUUCACUCUUAAGAAGCAGCCUUGAAGGAGUUGUCAAAAUAUAUCCCUCUGUCUCUGAGUUUUCGUCGAUCUUUGCUGUAGCAAAGAAUCCAGAGUGCGCCAACAGGCGCAUUAGUCGAUAAAUGCCUAUUGAUUUUGAUGAGGGAAGUUUGAGUGCUGAAACUAGCUCAGGAAGAGUGAUUGGUUUUCUGUGGUUAUGUAUAAUAUCUGGUAUGCCUAGAUGAAUGGCACAAUUCAAGGCCAUGGAAUUUGCAUAACCAAAUGCAUGCUUGUAGAUAUGAGCCUGUGCUUUGAACAACUCAUUAAUAUUAUCUGUUUCCAUUAUUAGCUCAGGAAGUUCUCUAUAAUUGUUGCUGAAACUAGGCAAGUGUGAUACAUGAGCUAUCUUUAUGUUUAUGUAUUGAACUAGGCUUUUGAUGGCAUGCUCAGAAUUGUGACAACUCACUCUUUUCUUUGUCAUAUGGUUCACUGUUGGCUUGUGUGACAUUCAAAUGUCAGCUCUAAGCUUAUUCUCAUGUUUACCCUAGGACUUCAAUUUCCUGUCUUUUAGCAUUGAAACUUAACCGCCCUUUUGUUUGUUUUUAUAUAUCCAUCUCUGUAUUGCUUUCUGUUUUUCAUUUAAACUUCCUCAACUACUUAUUCCAAAUAUCAAAUACUACCCAUGUUAAGGCUUUUUUGGCUUUGAAGAGCUCUCUUUUUUUUUUUAUUGAAAAAAAGAAUAUUUUAAAAUCUUUAGCUUUCCUUUUUAAAAAUUGGUUAUUUACUAUUGAGUAGAAAAUAAUAAACAGCUAUACCAAGUACGUGCAGAGCUAGCUAGCUAUUGCAAAAUCAUAUCAUUUCAUUUACUUCAAUCCCAUUUAAAAUUUUCAGCCAUUUUUGGGAAAAGCUCAAACACGUUGUGCAAACUUAAACAAUCAUCUGAUUGUUUAUUUAAUACUGCAUGUAGGUUCAUCAUAAUUCUUACUUACAUAAUAUAUUUAAGGAAAAACUUCAAUAAGGGACCUUAGGCCAAAGACAGGGGUAAUCUUGAAGGUCAUGAAUCCAGCCUCAAGGAAUAUCUUUUCCCAUUCUUUCUCAGUUCUCUCUCUUCCAGGGAGAUAUACCAUCAUCAAUACAUCAAAAAUGAGCUUGAGUUGAGUCAUGUCUGCUUCUUCUUCAUCUCCAUUCAGCACUAUGUCAAUGAUAAUGACCUUCCCUUUUCUUCCUUCAUUUUUAUCCCUCAUAGCUUCUCUGCAUCUCUUUAGCAUCUUCACACAAUCCUCAUCAUUCCAAUCAUGCAUAACCAGCUGCAAAUUAAAUGUCAUAUUUUCUCAACCAUACGACCAUGUGGAACAUAACUUAGCAUUAUGUCAUAGGUGAUGAGCCACCCAAGAUUACUAUUUACGAACUUAGAGAUCAGAUGUAGUACAUGUCAAUUUGUAAACAAAAGAAACAAAAGUUAGCAUCUUCUUACCUUAAACAAAAAAGCACCAGCAGGGGGAAUGGACUGAAACAUGUCACCUCCCACAUAUUUCAAAUUUUCUGUAUCCGGCAUGUUAGCAACAACAUGAGGGAGGUCUAAAACUGUGCAUUUUAGAUGAGGAAAUGCAGCCAAAAUAGUCUUAGCAAUAACACCAGUGCCACCUCCGACAUCAACCAAGGAAUCCACCUCUUCAAAAACUAGUUUGCAGUCCUUCACUACCAAACUCAUCAUUUCGGAAUCACUAGCCAUAGCUUCAUUGAUAACUUUGUUGAAUCCUGGAUUUUGGUCACAAUAUUCCCACAAGGGUGUACCAUAUGCUGUUUCAAAUGGGGUGGCUUCAUUUCCAAGAAACCAAUCGCCUAAAGAAUGCCAUGGAUUAACCAUAAUAGGAUCAAGCAUUGCUCUGGCAAAAGGUGACAAAUUUGGGAUUUCACUCUUCAAAAGCAGCUUAGAAGAAGCUGUAAGAACGUACCCUUCUUGUGUUUCUGAGUUUUCAUCAAGCUUUUUAGUAGCAAAAAAACCAGAGUAUACCAACAGACGCAUCAGUCGAUGAAUUCCAUUUGAUUUUGCAGGAGGAAGUUUCAGCUCUGAAACUAACUCAGAGAGAGUCGUUGGCUGCUUAUGACUAUGAAUUAUAUCCGGUAUGCCUAACUGAAUUGCACAACGAAGA
rnacentral:lncRNA from 1 species